UUCGGACAAGUGCUGGAGUGUUUACUCUAGAGGAAAGUCCAUGCUCGCACCAUCUGUGAUGAUGGUAGUGUUCGUGCUUAGGGAAAAAAUAACCUAAGGUAGAAUUUUCUAACGGCUUAAAAUACAUCUAAGGGGAGUUUCCUAUGAUGUAUUUUUCUAACGUGCCACAGUGACGAUUUUUUAGGAAACUAAAAAGUGAAACGCGGUAAACCCCACGAGCGAGAAACCCAAAUUAUGGUAGGGGAGCUUUAGUAAGAGAAUAAGAAUCGAGCUAAAGACUAGAAAUAGUAGAUAGAUACUUGUCGCCUAGUAAUAGGAACAGAACAUGGCUUAU
rnacentral:RNase_P_RNA from 1 species